rnacentral:tRNA from 1 species
UGGACGGUAGCUCAACGGCAGAGCAUCCCGCUGUUAACGGGAGGGUUGCAGGUUCGAUCCCUGCUCGUCCAGCCA